rnacentral:lncRNA from 1 species
UGGGUGGUACAAAGAACUCCAAGCGACUUCCUCCUCCUCCUUCUCCUUCACUCCGGAGCAGUAAGCGACACUUUUGCCACUGAGGCUGCCCUCCUCCUCCUGAGGUCAGCCCAGCUGCCCCUCCUCCACGACCCACUCCUGCUGGGUCAGGGGCAGCCUCUUCAGCCCCCAUGAAACUCAGCAGCUCUUCUCUCUGUAUCAUUCCUGCUCCGUCUUUCAGGGUUCCCCCUCCACGACUUAGCCUCAGCCUCUCAAAUCGAUGAGUCCAUCUCUCCCCAGGGGAUGUGCCAUCAUUAGCCAAUGCCCUACCAACUGUCCCAGCACCACCCGAGGAGUUGGAGUUGCUGUUUCCACCUAGAACUGGAGGGCCGGAUGUGGUCUCCAGAGGCCCAGCUUGGGAGGGCGAGUCAACGGCACCCCGCCACUGCAGGAUGCCUCGAACAGAGCCUCUGACUGAACGGCCCACUGAGCGGAGGGAGAAGCGCUUCUUGAGCUUUGGCUUUGAGGAUGUUGUAGAGGAAGGGACUGAGGAAGGAAGGGGGCCAGCCAGGUCCUCAGAAGAUCGAGAAGGGCCCAACACUGCUAGGGGCCCACCCACCCUGCAGCUCUCAAGGGACAGGUCGUGUGAUGGUGGGAUUUCCACACCAGGGCUCAAUGGAGCCAGGACAGGUGGGGAGAGUGAGCCCGAGGCCCGAGCCACCUCGGCUUCGAAGUGCUGCAGGAAGAGCUCAGCAAAACGGCCAGAAAAAGCGGCCUCUGCUCCCGGCUCUGCAUACUGUGGGUGGGAGGCCAGGUAGAGGCGAAAACGUCGGGCAAGAUCCAGGGCAGCUGCCCUCGCAUGGGACUCACAGAACUCUUGCCAACUUGGGGGAGGGGGUGGUGGCAGCGCUGGCGGAGAAGGGAAGACCCCAUCCUCUGGGGAAGGGGCACCAUUCAUGAUGGGCCCCAGGAGGAGGACAAGGGAAGCCUGCGGGGAACAAAUAGGGAAGCAGCCAGAAGACACGGGAUGUGCGGCAACAGCUGUAGAAAGAAGAGGCACAUACACUGAGUUACUGUAGAAGUGAGAUUGAGUUAUAUCUCAGCCCAGGCCAGGGACUCCCCUCCAGGCUCCUCAGAGAGCAACAGGCGAAGAGAACUAAACUGUUUUGCCCUCUUCAAGAUCAAUAACCCUCAUAUACCCCAGGGAUGAAGGAUGCUAAGCCCAAUCCUGCUGCCUUUGUCACCCCUCUCCCUGUUGUGGGACCCAGGAAAGGGCCUUGGAGCAUCUUACCCCACAGGGGACUCUUAAGAUCACUGCCAUCCCUUCUCUAAGACAAAACCUUCCCUAACUAUCACACAUUUUAAGUGUGCCAUUCCAGAGGGCUCUACAAGGUCAUUUUACCUUUCCUUAGACAACUUACUAACCUCUUACAGAUGAGGAAACGGAGAUUCAAACAGAGAUUCAAACAAGUUCCAGAACUCAGAGUCUACCGCAUUUCCCACUGCACAGUUCUAGUCUCCAGGGAUAUGCUGGACCAGCCUCGACCACAGCUCCCACUGCUCUGUUCUCAGGGGACCAAAGGGUGCAGGGAUUACACCCUUUAAAGACCUUGCAUCAUAGGUCCAAUGAGUGGAAGUUGGACUGAAGGCUCAGUUGUCUUCGAAGCUGAUCCUAUAACCCAGCACUUAAGCCCUGUGGGAAGACUUGGAUUGGCUGAAGGCCAAUCUCUGGGUUGCCCCUACAGUCUAGGGCUGAGUGAUAGCAGCGCUAGAGAAAAAGAGAUGGUGUGUUGGGUCAGGACAAGUCUUUACUAGCCACAGAAGUAAGGCAUCGCACGGAGCCGGGGCUCAGGAAUUUUCACUCCCUGGGGAGUGUACCUGUGAGUUUUGGACUCAAGCCCCAGCUCAGUCCACCUGUUAGCUGUGUGAACCUAGCUUUUGUCUCUGUAAAACACAGUUACUAACCGCUACCUGCUACAGUUGUCAGGAGAAAUGAAAUGACAAGGAACAUGUCUAUGCUUUCCACAGUAAGCACACAAGACAUCACUGCCACUGUAACUAUUUUUUAUGGGGGAGGACAGUAUGAUGGGUCCCAUUUGCGCUCCAGAAAGGAAGCGCUUCUGCGGGUGCCCCAACUCUUACAUCACAGCUAGAAAGUGACAGAGCUCCAUAUGUAAUUUACAACCGGUGGCUCUUUGGUGAGUGGUCCUGCCCUAUGAUCGACUGAAAGGAGACACCUCUGGACGGCUCAGGAAAGUCUACCCAAACUAUCAGUGAUGCCAGCCUCUUCAUCAAGCCUACAACCAAGCUGCAAGUCAGAGACCCCCCCCCCCUCCCCUUCCUCCUUGGCCUUUCCUACAUACUCCGAUGGCUCCAACCACAGGGACAACUCCAAACCAGGGAGAAGCAGCCAGGAGAUGCGGGAGUCACAGAGCACAGGGGAAUCGGGGCCAAGAGGCGCAGGCACGGCAGAGACAGUCCCCAGCCAGAGGCUACCUCGGCUCACACAGGCCCACCCAGCCCUCAGCACUACUGGCCGACCCAGCCCCCUUCAGGCCCGCUGACCCUGCGGUUCCUGGACUGGUGACUCAGUUUCUCUUCUGCCAAGACGGCUCAGUCACAGUUUUCCGGUGCACCUGCCUCUUGGCUUAGUUCUGACAUUCCAGAAGGGCGGGUGGUGGAGGGUGCAGGCUGCGCUCCAGGUUCGGACCCUCCGGGCCCCGUGGUUAAUCACUCGGACCCGAUCCUAGUCGUUGGACACCCUCCACAAGCCCCUGGGCCGGAGCCUCCGAGGGACCAACUAUCUGCUGCCCUCUCGGGAGCCGAGCACCCCUCCAGCCCCGAGCCCCCACGCCCACCCCCGCCCAGGCUUCUCAGACGACAGGGUCGAGUCCGGAGAGGAAAGAGGCACUUGAAGAGGGGGGUUCCGGUUCCGGUCCCACCUGCAUCUCGGUCCCCGCGCUUAGCUCCGGCGGCGGCAGCGGCGGCGGCGGCGACGGCCGCAGCUCCCGCUCCCUGUGCCCCCCGCCUCCGCGACGGGCUCCCAGCACGCGCUUCUGCGCAGGCGCUGGGACGGGUUCCCCGACGCGGAAGGAAGCGACCAUAGAGAAGAGCAGUAAGAAGGAGGGCACCUUCGUAUUCACUUCCGCCAUCGUUCUCGGCGCCGAGGUUUUCAGGAGCUACGCCAACACAGGCUGGGAGAUCUUCUCUCUGGACCGAACCCAGGCGAAGCUAAAGCCUGUCACAAACUGACCCAAGCCCGCUGCCCUGGAAACCACAACACCCAUAAGCCUUCGGGGGCGCUCGUGCAUUAUGGGG